rnacentral:lncRNA from 1 species
CAGAUGUGAUACCUGCCGCCUGCCAGGACCUGGCCGAGACUGUGGACAAAGCUGCUGGACACUGGAAAAUUGAUUGUACCCCUUUGCCUAGACAAAACAAGUUUAAAUAUGUCUUAAACAGGUUUCUGCUUCUGGCAGACAUCUGAGUAUCAGUUGCGGACUACAGGCUGUUCUAAGUAGACUGCGAGCCCUGGACUUGCUGUGGAUGUGAACCAGUCAGCUGAUGUGGACACCCCCUGUCUCUGCAACAGUGUCUGCUAACCAGAAGCCCCUGAUGGAUUCCCCAUUGCCUAAAUUCCUUUUUGCUUUUGACUAGCAUUUCAACCUUCUGGGGUCCCUAACUUCGUCCCAAAGUCAGCAGGAAGCAGUUUGGAAAAGAAUUUCGCCGUCCAUUUUCCCUGGUUAAAAUGCUAAGUCAAAAGGAACUCCCUUGCAUGGGGAUGACAGUAUCUAUCACUCCCUGAUGGGGAUGCUAGAGAGACAGCAAUUCCAUGAUUGGAAUUUACAAAAAAGAAAAUGGGGGAAUGAAGGAACCGGCUUCCCUUUUGGCAGCCAUAACAGCCGAACAUGUGCUUGCCAUAUACCUGCCUUGGUCACUUAGAGGUCAGAUGCCUGUCUUGUGACAAGGAACCAAUCAGAAGUUAGCUGGUGGCGCUAUGCUUUACGACCCUGGGUGUGCUUUACGGACAAGCGCACAGCAAUGACAUAGAGAGCAUAGCAACCACCCUGGGAGGGCCUAUGAGCCAUAACAACCAGUUGACCAAUCAACACAGGGCAAGCCCUCCAAGCCUGGAGGCACACCAAUCGUAAGCCUGUGCGUACCCCUAGACACUCCCCUUACGCUGCCCUAUAAGAUCUUUGGGGAGACCUUAGGAGCCGUCUUUUCUAGCCGUCAGCCAUGGCGGGUGGGUGAAAGACCCGAGCUAACAUGGGGUUAGUUCGUUAAAUUACAAUAAAGCCUCGUGCAGUUUGCAGCAAGCUCUCGAAUCCGCCUGGUGAUUGGGGUGACCGCGAACCUGGCCUGAGACCCCGGAUACUUGAGUUUUCGGGGGUCUAACACUAGGAUCCUAGAAGAUUUU